AUUUAUAUAGUUUAAUAAAACAUUACUUUUUCAUUGUAAAAUUAGAAAAUUUUCUUAUAAAUA
rnacentral:tRNA from 1 species